AUCUAAUAAAAAAAGAUUUUGGAAUCAUGGGAGUAGAAGCUUUGGACAUUAUUCCUGGCUUGCUAACUAUUGCUUGACUCUUUAUAACCAGAAAAGUUGCUUUGACCCUGUGGAGUUUCACAUGCAGAAAAGCAAGGUUUAAAAUAGAAGAUCUUUUUGUUAAGUCUUGGCUGAUAUGCUUCAGCACUGUGAAUAUCAUAGGGAAGAAGAUAUGGAGACACAAAGAGAAAGGCAGGGUACAGAGACAAAGUUAGGAAUGGAAUACUGUUCUAGACCACGGACUAUUUACAAUAACAUAAGAUUUUCAUCUGUACUAUCUAUUCUUUUUGGCUGUCUUUUUCUGUGCUUUUGUAGAUUCUUUGCAAAUAUUAGAAAAAUUUACCUUAUAUGAAUGUUUAAGUUUUGGAGUUACAAUUGUUACUUGAUGAGUGAUAUCAACCUGAUUUUUCUCACCAAUUGAUUUAUUAGAGAAGAAAAUUAAACUGAAACCUUGGAGGUCGUCUAAGCCUAGAGCACGCCUAGUAUAUAUAUCGACACAUGCCAAUAAAAUGGCAUAGGUCAGCCCUGACCUGUAAGAAUUAAUGAUAAGAUGUGAGGGUUGAGAGUUUUGGAUUAAAGGAAUUAAGUGAGAUUUCAUAAUAACAAAUGUGAUUAGAAACAAAUUGAGAUGAAAGUCAGUUUCCCUUUUUCCUACCUUUAGAUGUCUUUUAAUUUGUUUGCUCACCACAGGGUCUGAAAGUUCAAAGGCAGUUUUCAUCAUUUUGGCUUAUGUUCUUGGAAAACAGAACUGUAUAGACUUUGCCAAGUCUUAACCUUGACAAAAAACU
rnacentral:lncRNA from 1 species